AGGGUUCGAUUCUGGCUCAGAACGAACGCUGGCGGCAGGUCUUAGGCAUGCAAGUCGAACGGAUGAUAAGAGAGCUUGCUCUCUUAAAGUCAGUGGCGCACGAGUGAGUAACGCGUGGGAAACUGCCCUUCACUGGGGAAUAACGUUUGGAAACGAACGCUAAUACCGCAUACGCCCGCAAGGGGAAAGAUUUAUCGGUGAUGGAUGUGCCCGCGUUGGAUUAGCUAGUUGGUGGGGUAAUGGCCUACCAAGGCGAUGAUCCAUAGCUGGUCUGAGAGGACGAUCAGCCACGCUGGAACUGAGACACGGUCCAGACUCCUACGGGAGGCAGCAGCUAAGAAUAGUUGGGCAAUGGAAGGAAACUCUCGACCCAGCCAAUGCCGCGUAGAAUGAAAGAAGGCCGUUCGGGUUAGUAAAGUUUCUUUUAGUCAUGAAGAUGAUGACAGUAGUGACAGAAAAGCACCGGCUAACUUCGUGCCAGCAGCCGC
rnacentral:rRNA from 1 species